AGGCUGGGCUGUGAUGGGGAGCGAAAAUUGCAGUAGCGAAGGUCAUGUACUCCGGCUGUCGAGAAAAGCCUCUAGGUAGAUCUAGGUGCCCGUACCGCAAACCGACACAGGUAGGCGAGCAGAGCAUGCUAAGGCGCGCGGAAGAACUCUCGUUAAGGAACUCGGCAAAAUGACCCCGUAACUUCGGGAGAAGGGGUGCCUCGGUAGGGUGAAUAGCCCGAGGGGGCCGCAGUGAAAAGGCCCAAGCGACUGUUUAGCAAAAACACAGGUCUGUGCGAAGCCGUAAGGCGAAGUAUACGGGCUGACGCCUGCCCGGUGCUGGAAGGUUAAGGGGAGCGGUUAGGGGCAACCCGAAGCUGUGAACCGAAGCCCCAGUAAACGGCGGCCGUAACUAUAACGGUCCUAAGGUAGCGAAAUUCCUUGUCAGGUAAAUUCUGACCCGCACGAAUGGCGUAACGACUUGGGCGCUGUCUCAACGAGAGAUCCGGUGAAAUUUUAAUACCUGUGAAGAUGCAGGUUACCCGCGACAAGACGGAAAGACCCCAUGGAGCUUUACUGCAGCUUGAUAUUGGACUUUGGUACGAUCUGUACAGGAUAGGUGGGAGCCAUUGAGGCCGGAGCGCCAGCUUCGGUGGAGGCGCCGUUGGGAUACCACCCUGAUCGUAUCGGAGUUCUAACCUGGCACCGUGAAACCGGUGCAGGGACCGUGUCAGGCGGGCAGUUUGACUGGGGCGGUCGCCUCCUAAAAUGUAACGGAGGCGCCCAAAGGUUCCCUCAGAAUGGUUGGAAAUCAUUCGAAGAGUGUAAAGGCAAAAGGGAGCUUGACUGCGAGACCUACAAGUCGAGCAGGGACGAAAGUCGGGCUUAGUGAUCCGGUGGUACCGAAUGGAAGGGCCAUCGCUCAACGGAUAAAAGCUACCCUGGGGAUAACAGGCUUAUCUCCCCCAAGAGUCCACAUCGACGGGGAGGUUUGGCACCUCGAUGUCGGCUCAUCGCAUCCUGGGGCUGAAGUAGGUCCCAAGGGUUGGGCUGUUCGCCCAUUAAAGCGGUACGCGAGCUGGGUUCAGAACGUCGUGAGACAGUUCGGUCCCUAUCUGUCGCGGGCGUAGGAAAUUUGAGAGGAGCUGUCCUUAGUACGAGAGGACCGGGAUGGACGUACCGCUGGUGUACCAGUUGUUCCGCCAGGAGCACCGCUGGGUAGCCAAGUACGGAAGGGAUAAGCGCUGAAAGCAUCUAAGCGUGAAGCCCCCCUCAAGAUGAGAUUUCCCAGUAUGUAAGACCCCUUGAAGACGACGAGGUUGAUAGGUUCGGGGUGGAAGCACAGCAAUGUGUGGAGCUGACGAAUACUAAUCGGUCGAGGGCUUAUCCUA
rnacentral:rRNA from 1 species